rnacentral:rRNA from 1 species
UAACAAUCAUCUUCCCACACCUGUGCACAUUUUGAGGGAGUUUCGAGUUGAUUGCCGGUUCGGUGAUUUUCUCGCGUUCCCUUAAAUCAUUAUACGCUGUUAUCAAUACUGAACGUGCUUUGUGCCGCAAGGCCAUUAAUAUAAUACAACUUUUAACAACGGAUCUCUUGGCUCUCGCAUCGAUGAAGGACGCAGCGAAAUGCGAUAAGUAAUGUGAAUUGCAGAAUUCAGUGAAUCAUCGAAUCUUUGAACGCACCUUGCGCUCCCUGGUAUUCCGGGGAGCACGCCUGUUCGAGUGUCGUGAAAUUUCUCAAGCUUUGGAUGGCUUUGUUGUCUAUCCUUAGCCUUGGUUGUUGGGCUUUGCCGUGUCCUUCAUUUGGGACGGCUGGCCUUAAAAGCAUUAGCUGAUCCUCGUGUGGCACUGGUUCUACUCAGCGUGAUAAUAAUGUGAUCGCUGAGGACAUCUUUUGGGAUGGCCAGUUCUCAUUUGGGUUGCUUCUAAAUCUGGUU